rnacentral:piRNA from 1 species
GAAAAGGAAGUAGAGACACUCUUC